GAGUCGGCAUUUAGUGCUGGUGGCCGUGUUGUUGAUCCAUUUCGCACCCGUCUUGAUCCAGAGGCUGUGCAAGCUUUAGUUUGCACCAAAGAUUGGAUUAAAGCAGCUAACAAUGGUUAUAAGACUCAGGCUAUCAUCAAUGAGUUGGACAUUGAAAGCGUAGAGAGGCAUCUGGCAAACUUAUUGAUAGUGG